UACGUAGGGGGCUAGCGUUGUCCGGAAUCAUUGGGCGUAAAGCGCGCGCAGGCGGUCCCUUAAGUCUGAUGUGAAAGCCCACGGCUCAACCGUGGAGGGUCAUUGGAAACUGGGGGACUUGAGUACAGAAGAGGAAAGCGGAAUUCCACGUGUAGCGGUGAAAUGCGUAGAGAUGUGGAGGAACACCAGUGGCGAAGGCGGCUUUCUGGUCUGUAACUGACGCUGAGGCGCGAAAGCGUGGGGAGCAAACAGG
rnacentral:rRNA from 1 species